UACGUAGGGCGCAAGCGUUGUCCGGAAUUAUUGGGCGUAAAGAGCUCGUAGGCGGUUUGUCGCGUCGGAUGUGAAAGCCCGGGGCUUAACCCCGGGUCUGCAUUCGAUACGGGCAGACUGGAGUGUGGUAGGGGAGAUCGGAAUUCCUGGUGUAGCGGUGAAAUGCGCAGAUAUCAGGAGGAACACCGGUGGCGAAGGCGGAUCUCUGGGCCAUUACUGACGCUGAGGAGCGAAAGCGUGGGGAGCAAACAGG
rnacentral:rRNA from 1 species